CUACUUAGCUGGCAGGGCUAAUACCAUGAUCAAGAAGGUGGUUUGCCCAAAGCAAGGCCCAGCCAUUUCACUCAGGCUGCACUGACCUUUGCGAAUUCCUCAAAUGUGGGAAUCUCGACUGCUUAAUUUCUGAUGGGGGGGGGGAGACUGCGUUCACGCUCUGCCCUUU